GUUGCUGUCGUCGUCAAUCGCCUGCUUGCCGAGAAUGAUCAGGCCCGGCUUUUCUUCGUCCGCGACGGCCUUGAGAAUCUUGGCGACGUUAAGCGGCUCGACGUUGCUGUCGGUCUUCACGAGGAUGCCGCGGUCGGCGCCCAUGGCAAGGCCGGUACGGAUCGUCUCCGACGCCUGCGCAGGUCCGAUCGACACCACCACGACC
rnacentral:misc_RNA from 1 species